AAGGAACGUUGGCGGCAUGGAUUAGGCAUGCAAGUCGAGCGAGAAGUGUAGCAAUACACGGAAAGCGGCGGAAGGGAGAGUAAUACGUGGGAAUCUGCCCUUAGACCUGGGAUAGCAGCGGGAAACUGCUGGUAAUACCAGAUAAUGUCUAUGGACCAAAGGUGUGAUUCCGUCUAGGGAUGAGCCCACGUCCUAUUAGCUAGUUGGUAGGGUAAUGGCCUACCAAGGCGAUGAUGGGUAGCGGGUAUGAGAGCAUGACCCGCCUCACUGGGACUGAGACACUACCCAGACACCUACGGGUGGCUGCAGUCGAGAAUCUUCGGCAAUGGGCGCAAGCCUGACCGAGCGAUGCCGCGUGCGGGAUGAAGGCCUUCGGGUUGUAAACCGCUGUCGAGGGGGAGCAACUUCCAUAGAGUUAUCUUUAUGGAUUGAGUGAUCCCUGGAGGAAGGACGGGCUAAGUUCGUGCCAGCCGCCGCGGUAAAAC
rnacentral:rRNA from 1 species